UCAAGGGAAGACUUGGCUGUGGCAGGGAGCAAUGCUGUUGGGCCCAGCGAUGGGUGACAUUCCUGGGAUGCAGCAUGCAGAGCUCUCAAGCUCCAUGCAUGACAAACUAGCAUUUUAGUAAUGGGGAAGGAGGAAGGGGAGCAGUGCAGAGCCAUGUCCACAGCAUGUGUUUUCCUCACAGGCUUUUGGAGUCCUGCCACCCCAUACACUCUGACCCCUAAAACACUCAACAUCAUCCAUCUAGGUGUAUAAAAACGGCCUGCAGUGUUAGAUGGGAUACCAAAUCCCCUCGAUGCUGUUAAUCCAUGUUUUUCCACAAGGGCCCCAGGUGCUCCCUGCUGGUGAUUUAUUUGGCCUGUGCAGCAGGAACAGGCAGCAGCUGUGUAAGGUGGGGAGGGAGCUCCUGUGUGCUCCCCAAACCCUGCCUGCCUUGGGUUCUCAUGCUGUUGGAGGCAGCUCCUCUUCCCUGCAGCACCUGCAAGGCUGGGCUGAGGAGAAGGCACUCCAGUCUCAUUCCCACCCCACGAGAUGGUUUGGAAUCUACCACUGGUGUUGACAUCCUGACUGAAUCUCAGACUCCUGGGCUUCACUGCAGCUGGACAGCCCUCACCCCAUACAGACAGGCAGGUCAGCACCUGGCAGGACCAGUUUUAUUGCUGCAUCCCUCCUGUGGAGAAAGAGGGCUUGCCCACUCUCAUGAACUUCAAAACAUCAUUUUGUAUUUCAUUUAAAAACAAGCCUUGAAAGCCUGGGAAGGAAAGAGAACUAACAGAAGUAGUCAACCCCCUGUGUUUGCUAUGAGAAACCACAGAAGGUGGUAUGGUUUUGUAAGGAGGCAAUGGGAGCAAUGUUUUAUUUAUGGAUAAGUGCAUGUCUGUCUGUCUUGUGCCUUCAGAUUUAUCUUUAUACUGACUGUUGUUUCUUGUUUCCACAAUUUAUACAGUAGCCUUCGGUAAUUGUCCUGGGAUUUGACGAAUCACUCUUGGAAGAAUGAAUUGCUAGUACUGUUAAACAAACGUGAAAAGAAUUAUUCUCUUUCCAACAUUUCUUGAAAUUAAAUUUUAGCCCUGGUGUGCUCAACUACCUUCAGGAUUAGUCUCUGUAUUGUCAAAGGAGCCUGUCAAGCCCUUUUAGAUCAAAGGAGGCUGUUUUCUAUUAAGAAGGUUCUGAUGAUGUUUUCCAGCUCUCGGGUACAACACAAAGGCAACCUGUGGCUCUCCACUGCUGUUUGACCCAUUAAGUGUUUGAGUGUCUUGCUGCUUCCUAUUUUCUUUGUGUGGGCUCUGCCAGGUCCAGCUCAGGCAGGUGGUCAUUGGCACAGCCAUAACCAGGCACCUCCAGCCUACCUGAAAUAUCUCCUUGCUGGUCUGGUCAGGUUGUUGAUGGUUCUGUUCACAGCUCGCUGUUCCUUGCGGACGCACCGCUGAACUCCUGCACCCGCGUGGAAUCCAGCUUGGCAUGCUUCCCCUCCCUUCCCAGGAUGCCUGGCCUUUUUAAAUUCCUACUUUUCCUGCUUUCAGAUACAGCCCUCUGUCAUUGCACAUUUUCUGUGCACUUCUGAACAGGCUGCUUACUGACUUUUUUCUCCCUCACCAGCUCAGAAUUUUUUGACUGCUGCAUUUGUUCUAUUUGAAUAUAAACAUGGGAGAGACAAAGAAAUAAGUGCUAUGGAAUGAUUAGGUAGAGAUAUGCCAGUGGCUUUGCCUGAUUAAUGGAUUUACAUUGUACAUUACUCACAGGCAGCUUUCCAAUGUCUUUCUCUAAAACAAGGUAAUUUGUUUCAAGGGCUAUCUUUCUGUAAAAGGCUGAUAAGCGAGCCAUACUUGGUGCAUGUAUGGAUGUCUAGGCAGGCAGAGCCAGGAUAGGAUGUACAGUCAUUUUGCCCCUGCUAGUCACAGCCAUUCCUGCAGGUACUUGAGGAAUGCAGGAUGUGCCCCAAAUAGAUUUUAACAAAUAUUCCCUGAUGGAGUCAUUUCAGCCUCUCCUGACAUCCGUACCAGCUCUUGCUGACAACAACAGGAUCUUUGUGACAGCGACUGCAGCAGAGUACAAAUGCUUUUCUUCUCCUUUCGUGCCAGACAGCAAGUGAAGGUAAAGACUUGCUGUGCUGACUCAGAGGAAAGGUUAAACAAGCCUGGGCUCCUGCCUCUGACAGUGGCCAGAGAAUCUUCAAGAAAGUCACAGAAGAAAACAAGCACUUUUCCCUGAUUCAUCCUCUUCACAAAAUGAGUAUUUUCAGCUCUGGCGUCUAUUCUGACAGGAUGAGAAAGGAUUACUUAAAGAAAUAGUGUGGCAAGGUGAGGAGAGAGGCUUUCUCUUCAAAGUACGGGGAGGGUUUAGUUUUCUGAUCUGGUGCCAAAUGCAACAAAGGUACUUGCCAAAUGCCCUUGCAGUAGGACUUGUCCAGAGGCUUUACAGCUUUGCACCUCUCUCUCUUUCUGUGUCCUGCUGCUCUCAUUCUGUUGGAGUCAGUGUGAUCCUCUGGUGCUGAGCCUGAGUGAAAAUCUGGCUUCUCCUGGCUGCAGGGCACGUCUCCAGAGUGUGAAAGAGCAGGAGAGCCCAGUUCAUGCCAUUAGCAGGGCAAGGUGUUAGUGAGAGCUCUAAGUUCUUCUUGGCUGUUUGGGACUGGGGAAGGACACAUCCUUCCUGCUGAGCAGGGAGACAGCCUGGUUUAUCUACUGUCCAGUUUACCACAGUGUGGAGAGAGAACACCUUCUGAAGGUGUGAGGGGUGAUGCUGGGCUGGUCCCUGUGGUUCCUACCAUCUACUCAAGACCAGCCUUGUCUCAUGUUCCAGUUUCCUCUGGAUGUGGAGCCAUGGUCAGUGUUGUUAUAAAUCUGCCAAAGGUUGUGGCAUCAGUACCAGGCUCCUCUGAGGCACAGGUGCCUGGAGGAGCCUGGCUCAGGAUUAGGAUGCUGGAUUAGAUAUGUAUAUAAUGAUGAAAAUACACAAGAGAUGCAGACACAAGAGUGUCUGCAGGGUGAAAGUCAAAACUCCUUUUCCAAGCACUUCCAGCUUUUUAAUUGCACAGCAUUCCUCUGGCCUUUCCAGUUCUAUACUAUGGAUAUGAAUGCACAAGGAUAUAAAAUAUUUUAUGUCAGUGUUAAAGUUAACUGGGGACUGAGCUUCUGGCUUGGUUUUUUUCUUUCACUCCUGGAAAAAAAAAAAAAGAAGCAGUUUUAUAAGCUGUUAAUUUCAAAAACAGCAUGGUCUGGAAAAAAAGAGCUUUUCUUCUGUUAUUAAACUUCAAGUCUGUUCCCAGAACUGUAUGUCCAAAGGAAAGCAUCCCUAGGCAGGUGUUAUUUGCCAGCUGACUUGGACCUUUGACACUUCCCAGCUCUGAGCAAGCUUCCUCAGUGUGGAGACAUGCCAGAGUGAGCUUGCAAACACCCUCCCCUGCUUCAAAGGAGCUCCAACAGCAAACACACCAGGGGAUGCUGCCAGCUCCAUAAGCCAAACACACUGCAGUCUGAAGAGGUCAGGAACAACUUAGACACACCUGGAAAUACUCAUAGAGCCCUUGGGCCUCAUCAUGAUUGCUCAAGGUGUCCAGCAGCUCUGCAAACAUUCAGAUGGUGUCUGAGCCAGGCAGGUGUGGCUUCAGCAGCUUGUGUGCCCAAAUAAACUCAGCAGGCUGGAAUCACACAGCUAACGCUUGUCUGUUUCUUAAUUUGUUUUUAUUUAAGUGUCUAUAAUCCUUGUAGGGAGAUAAGAUGCUGGCUUUGCCAGGUAUCCACACGUAGAAAGGACAGGGAUAAAAAUAUCUACAGUUGUGUUCAACGACAGCAGGAAAAAGCAGCUCCUGCUGGCAUCAGGCCAGGGCAGAAACAUCCUACUCCACAGGCAGGUCUCCUGCCCUUCCAAUCCACACUGCCUGUGGUCAGCAACAGCAUCUUCCAGCCCAAAACACCCAUGUUCACUGAGCUGGGCGUGUGUGGCCACAGGAUGCCUUAAGACAGAGUAUUGCCACUUGCUGAGAAUUAAGAAACUUCUAAAACAUCUCUAAGUGCCCAAAACUUGCAGUGCUCUAAAUCAUUGUUCUGUAGGCAUGUAUUGCUCUGCAAAUGUUCCCUGUUGCUGGUUUUGCUUCCAAGCUGUGCAUCCAAGCCAGGUGCUAUAUUAGUUUCUUUUGCUGUGAGUCAUAGCACCACAGCCCUGAGAGAGACCAUUGCUACAUCCACUGAAAAUGGAAGCUUCAAGCCUUUGAAGAAGAAAAAUGUGGAAAAUUGUGGAAGAGUAACCCAUCGUGUGCACAGAACUUAAAAAUAUGGGGAAACAGGACCAGGGAAACUGUGGGGGAGCUAUGGCUGGGGUGUUCCUCAGCCCUUUCCUGCAGAAAGGUGGAACACAUCUGGGUCCACUGAGUCCCUUUAUUUGAAGGAUAAUUAACUGUUGA